UAACGGCGAGUGAAGAGGGAAGAGCCCAAGAUUGAAAGCUGGCGCCUUCGGCGUCCGCAUUGUAAUCUCAAGAAGUGUUUUCCGCUUCGGACCAUGCCUAAGUCCCUUGGAAAAGGGCAUCAUAGAGGGUGAUAAUCCCGUACAUGGCAUGGAGCGCCCGAAGCUUUGUGAUACGCUUUCUAAGAGUCGAGUUGUUUGGGAAUGCAGCUCAAAAUGGGUGGUAAAUGCCAUCUAAGGCUAAAUAUUGGGGAGAGACCGAUAGCGAACAAGUACAGUGAUGGAAAGAUGAAAAGAACUUUGAAAAGAGAGUUAAACAGUACGUGAAAUUGCCAAAAGGGAAGGGUAGGAGGUCAGAGAUGCGUCGCAGGAUUCAGCCUUGCUUUUGCUUGGUGUUUUUCCUGCGUUGCAGGCCAACGUCGGUUUUGGGCACUGGAGAAGGGUAGGAGGAACGUGGCACCUCUCGGGGUGUGUUAUAGCCUCCUACUGGAUACAGCGACCGAGACCGAGGAACGCAGCGUACUCGUAAGAGCGGGCCUUUUGGCACCUUUACGCUUAGGGCGUUGGCAUAAUGGCCCUCUACCACCCGUCUUGAAA
rnacentral:rRNA from 1 species